rnacentral:lncRNA from 1 species
GUUUGAUCUGUGCUGCUUGUUUGCUGACCUUAGAUGUGCUAUUUCUCCUAGAGCUUCCUGGGGAUGGGAAGUAGAUGCUUGGUGCUGCUUUGCUGGGGUAGUGGACCACUGCCUGGCUGCACUCUUCAGCAUGUUGGACCAAUUCCAUGUUGGAAACUGUGCUCUGCUAAGUAGGCUGAGUUCUGUCCUCCAUUGCAACAUUAACAAUAGCAUUCGUAUGGCUGUGAACUGUUGCCUCAUUCCCUGGCCUGAGUGGGAAGCUGAAGACAAGGCUGGGAGUUUUAACUGGAUGUGUUAGUGCUGGGAAACAAUGGCCAACAAAGCUAAAACAGUGGAAAUAUGCAUUUUAAAAAAGAACUUUUGCUGCAUGUCCUUCCAGGACUAGAUGGACAAACUUCUGUCAGAAGAAUCCAUGCUUUUGUUUAGCACUGGCAGGGUGGAAAGCCUGAGCCUGUCUUACUGUUCUGCCUUGUUUGGUAUCAUGCGAUUCUGCAAGGAAUAGCAGCUACUGAGGGCACUUGUUGAGGAAGGUGCUGCCUUACCUCACACUUAGGGAUGAAAAGAAUAUCUUGACAUUUCUCACUAUGUGAAAUUCUUUUUCUCACAGCAAGCCCUUUUUAAAGUGAUGAAGGGAAAUGUUCUCAGCAUGACUGUUCCUUGCUUAUGAUCUCUGAUUCUGUAGAUUUGCAUGCCUUACUUCUAAAAAAAAAUCUUGUAGCUACAUACUUGUGCACUAUUAUGAUAAUUAAACUAAGGGCAAAAGAUUAAAAACCCUAUAAUUCUGCAGUCCCCCAUAAUACAUGAAGCUCCUCCUACUAGGUAAUGAAACCAUUAUUCACUAACAAGUUAAACAUGCAAGAAUGUGAAGGUCUUUAUAAACAGAGUGCUAUCUGCUAGGGAGGAGAGCCUCCAGGCUAUUGCAGAAGACCAUAAUUUGCAUGAAGUGAAGGAUUAUCCUGGGAAGGCACAGUAAUAGAGAUAUUGCAAUCUUUCAUUACAGUGAUGGGAAGAGUGGUUUCUCAGACCUAUCUUCUUGGAGGGGUUCCAUAGACUAGUUCUGGAAUAGGUCAGAGGGGUAUCUGUCACCAGUAAUGUAGCUGAAUUGCAUGGGCUUCCUAAGGGUGAUGUUCUCCUGAGGUCUGCCCCAGACCUUGCUUCUAUAAUUCUUAUGCUCCUGUUCUUCACAUUACCUGUGGCUGUGACGCCUCUACUGCUGUGCAUCUGAAUCUUUUAUCCCUCCUGAAGCCUUGUUGGCAGGGACCCCAAAAGCAAGGUAUCUAGGAGGUGUAGUAGUUGAG